rnacentral:rRNA from 1 species
UAAGGGCGCACGGUGGAUGCCUUGGCACUAGAAGCCGAUGAAGGACGUUACUAACGACGAUAUGCUUUGGGGAGCUGUAAGUAAGCUUUGAUCCAGAGAUUUCCGAAUGGGGAAACCCAGCAUGAGUUAUGUCAUGUUAUCGAUAUGUGAAUACAUAGCAUAUCAGAAGGCACACCCGGAGAACUGAAACAUCUUAGUACCCGGAGGAAGAGAAAGAAAAUUCGAUUCCCUUAGUAGCGGCGAGCGAAACGGGAAGAGCCCAAACCAACAAGCUUGCUUGUUGGGGUUGUAGGACACUCUAUACGGAGUUACAAAGGACGACAUUAGACGAAUCAUCUGGAAAGAUGAAUCAAAGAAGGUAAUAAUCCUGUAGUCGAAAAUGUUGUCUCUCUUGAGUGGAUCCUGAGUACGACGGAGCACGUGAAAUUCCGUCGGAAUCUGGGAGGACCAUCUCCUAAGGCUAAAUACUCUCUAGUGACCGAUAGUGAACCAGUACCGUGAGGGAAAGGUGAAAAGCACCCCGGAAGGGGAGUGAAAUAGAACCUGAAACCGUGUGCUUACAAGUAGUCAGAGCCCGUUAAUGGGUGAUGGCGUGCCUUUUGUAGAAUGAACCGGCGAGUUACGAUUUGAUGCAAGGUUAAGCAGUAAAUGUGGAGCCGUAGCGAAAGCGAGUCUGAAUAGGGCGUUUAGUAUUUGGUCGUAGACCCGAAACCAGGUGAUCUACCCUUGGUCAGGUUGAAGUUCAGGUAACACUGAAUGGAGGACCGAACCGACUUACGUUGAAAAGUGAGCGGAUGAACUGAGGGUAGCGGAGAAAUUCCAAUCGAACCUGGAGAUAGCUGGUUCUCUCCGAAAUAGCUUUAGGGCUAGCCUCAAGUGAUGAUUAUUGGAGGUAGAGCACUGUUUGGACGAGGGGCCCCUCUCGGGUUACCGAAUUCAGACAAACUCCGAAUGCCAAUUAAUUUAACUUGGGAGUCAGAACAUGGGUGAUAAGGUCCGUGUUCGAAAGGGAAACAGCCCAGACCACCAGCUAAGGUCCCAAAAUAUAUGUUAAGUGGAAAAGGAUGUGGCGUUGCCCAGACAACUAGGAUGUUGGCUUAGAAGCAGCCAUCAUUUAAAGAGUGCGUAAUAGCUCACUAGUCGAGUGACACUGCGCCGAAAAUGUACCGGGGCUAAACAUAUUACCGAAGCUGUGGAUUGUCCUUUGGACAAUGGUAGGAGAGCGUUCUAAGGGCGUUGAAGCAUGAUCGUAAGGACAUGUGGAGCGCUUAGAAGUGAGAAUGCCGGUGUGAGUAGCGAAAGACGGGUGAGAAUCCCGUCCACCGAUUGACUAAGGUUUCCAGAGGAAGGCUCGUCCGCUCUGGGUUAGUCGGGUCCUAAGCUGAGGCCGACAGGCGUAGGCGAUGGAUAACAGGUUGAUAUUCCUGUACCACCUAUAAUCGUUUUAAUCGAUGGGGGGACGCAGUAGGAUAGGCGAAGCGUGCGAUUGGAUUGCACGUCUAAGCAGUAAGGCUGAGUAUUAGGCAAAUCCGGUACUCAUUAAGGCUGAGCUGUGAUGGGGAGAAGACAUUGUGUCUUCGAGUCGUUGAUUUCACACUGCCGAGAAAAGCCUCUAGAUAGAAAAUAGGUGCCCGUACCGCAAACCGACACAGGUAGUCAAGAUGAGAAUUCUAAGGUGAGCGAGCGAACUCUCGUUAAGGAACUCGGCAAAAUGACCCCGUAACUUCGGGAGAAGGGGUGCUCUUUAGGGUUAACGCCCAGAAGAGCCGCAGUGAAUAGGCCCAAGCGACUGUUUAUCAAAAACACAGGUCUCUGCUAAACCGUAAGGUGAUGUAUAGGGGCUGACGCCUGCCCGGUGCUGGAAGGUUAAGAGGAGUGGUUAGCUUCUGCGAAGCUACGAAUCGAAGCCCCAGUAAACGGCGGCCGUAACUAUAACGGUCCUAAGGUAGCGAAAUUCCUUGUCGGGUAAGUUCCGACCCGCACGAAAGGCGUAACGAUUUGGGCACUGUCUCAACGAGAGACUCGGUGAAAUCAUAGUACCUGUGAAGAUGCAGGUUACCCGCGACAGGACGGAAAGACCCCGUGGAGCUUUACUGUAGCCUGAUAUUGAAAUUCGGCACAGCUUGUACAGGAUAGGUAGGAGCCUUUGAAACGUGAGCGCUAGCUUACGUGGAGGCGCUGGUGGGAUACUACCCUAGCUGUGUUGGCUUUCUAACCCGCACCACUUAUCGUGGUGGGAGACAGUGUCAGGCGGGCAGUUUGACUGGGGCGGUCGCCUCCUAAAAGGUAACGGAGGCGCUCAAAGGUUCCCUCAGAAUGGUUGGAAAUCAUUCAUAGAGUGUAAAGGCAUAAGGGAGCUUGACUGCGAGACCUACAAGUCGAGCAGGGUCGAAAGACGGACUUAGUGAUCCGGUGGUUCCGCAUGGAAGGGCCAUCGCUCAACGGAUAAAAGCUACCCCGGGGAUAACAGGCUUAUCUCCCCCAAGAGUUCACAUCGACGGGGAGGUUUGGCACCUCGAUGUCGGCUCAUCGCAUCCUGGGGCUGUAGUCGGUCCCAAGGGUUGGGCUGUUCGCCCAUUAAAGCGGUACGCGAGCUGGGUUCAGAACGUCGUGAGACAGUUCGGUCCCUAUCCGUCGUGGGCGUAGGAAAUUUGAGAGGAGCUGUCCUUAGUACGAGAGGACCGGGAUGGACAUACCUCUGGUGUACCAGUUGUCGUGCCAACGGCAUAGCUGGGUAGCUAUGUGUGGACGGGAUAAGUGCUGAAAGCAUCUAAGCAUGAA